rnacentral:rRNA from 1 species
CGGCCGGUAAUGCGGCUUUUCCUUCGGGACAGGGGAGACAGGUGGUGCAUGGUUGUCGUCAGCUCGUGUCGUGAGAUGUUGGGUUAAGUCCCGCAACGAGCGCAACCCCUAUCUUCAGUAGCCAGCAUUUAGGAUGGGCACUCUGGAGAGACUGCCAGGGAUAACCUGGAGGAAGGUGGGGAUGACGUCAAAUCAUCAUGCCCCUUAUGACCAGGGCUACACACGUGCUACAAUGGCGUAAACAAAGGGAAGCGAACACGUGAGUGCAAGCAAAUCUCAAAAAUAACGUCUCAGUUCGGAUUGUAGUCUGCAACUCGACUACAUGAAGCUGGAAUCGCUAGUAAUCUGCGAAUCAGCAUGUC